AAGUACGCGCCUCCCCCCUGCGGCGGCCCCGAGGACGUGGCCCUGGCGCCCUGCACCGCCGCCGCCGCCUGCGAAGCGGGCCCCUCCCCGGUCUACGUCAAGGUCAAGAGCGCGGAGCCGGCUGACUGCGCCGAGGGGCCGGUGCAGUGCAAGAACGGCCUCUUGGUCUCCAGCCCACACUGUGAAGAGCCUUGUGCCCACAGCUGUGCACAUCCUGGGCUUCCUCCACACCUUGUCCAUAAACUGCCCCUCAGCUACCUUCAGACCCAGGAUACAGACGCAGCCUCCAGAAGAAUAAAUGCUCCAUUAGCAGCUGGCUGGAGCUGGCUGAGGCUCUGGCUGGUGACUCUGGCCUCUGGUGUAGACUUCCCUCAGGUGAGUGCAUGGAUGAGAGCUCUACCUUCUCCUGACUGCCCAGGCCUCAGGACAACAGACACUCCAGUUUUUCAGUGUCUUCCUGAAAGUGUGGCUUCGAGACCUGGACCUGGACUAGUCAUGCUGUGGGAGUCUCCCCACUACUUACCCGUGUGCUCAGCCUGCCCCUCCUGGCACAUAAUG
rnacentral:lncRNA from 1 species